UUCAUAUCAGUCUUGAUCGCGUCACGACUUUACGUCGAGAUGAGGAAAGUCCGAACUCUCCCCUGGCAUUUGCCUAAGGUAGCAUGGUAGUGGGUAACACCCACCCCCGUAUACUGCAAAGUAUACAGGCGGGACAGUGCCACAGAGACAAUACUAAUUUUGCGCAGCAAAAUUACCCUGAGCGUAAGGAGGCCGCAGCCGACUGAAGUCGAAGGGUAUGAUGAGUGUAAUUCUAACCAAAAGCAUCUGCGUGAAGAUGGAUAGCAGAGUAUACUGGAUACUAUCCACCAUACGCCGAAGAUUAUUUUUGUGAGAAUUACCAUUAUACCCUUCGACUCACGUCCUGCCUGCCGGCAGGCGUUCGCUCAGGGUCGUCUUGCUGCGCAAGACGAAAGGUGAAAAGUGCAUUGACGUUUUUUCCUCUCGAGAGAAAAAGCGACAACGCUCGCCGCCUGGUGACAGCGCGGCGUGGUAAACCCUACUGAGAGCAAGAGCAGCCCUGGCUUCGCCUCCGCUGCGCUCCGGCUACGCCGGGCAGGCCCGACAGGUGUAUGAUUGAUUCACACUCAUACACGUGUCAUGUGCCAUGCCUGCAGGGCGUAGCUGUAGCGUAGCGGAAGCGAAGCCCUGGAAAAGUUCGCUCGCUGGAGUCACGUAGUAAUACGUGAACAAGAUAAAUGAUCAAGUCCCGAGAGCUCUGCUCAAAGGAUACAAAAUUCGGCUUACACUGCUAUGAACAAA
rnacentral:RNase_P_RNA from 1 species